rnacentral:rRNA from 1 species
UACGUAGGGGGCAAGCGUUGUCCGGAUUUAUUGGGCGUAAAGAGCGUGUAGGCGGUUUGGUAGGUCCGCUGUGAAAACCCGAGGCUCAACCUCGGGACGUCGGCGGAAACCAUCUGGCUAGAGUCCGGAAGAGGAGAGUGGAAUUCCCGGUGUAGCGGUGAAAUGCGCAGAUAUCGGGAAGAACACCCGUGGCGAAGGCGGCUCUCUGGGACGGUACUGACGCUGAGACGCGAAAGCGUGGGGAGCGAACAGG